GCGUUACCAUAUUUGAGUCAACGAUUACCCCGCAAUUUUCAUCCAGAAACGGAAAGCUGUACUUGUAUCCUGUUUGUAUGAAUAGAUUAGUACGAGCACAAUGUUUUUUUUGUUGUGAUUCCAAAAAGUAUAACUCUACUGAGUCAUGUCUUGAAGCACAAUGUUUGAUAUUUGAUAUUUUACCUGUGCAGUAAAAAAUUGUGUCGACAAUUUCAGACGAAUCAUCUUUAAAGACUGCUUCGUGUUCCGUCAACUCAGCGAGGUCUGGCUUCUGGAAGUUAGAGGAGAAAGAAAUGAAGACGUCAAUAGUCGAAAUGAAUGGUCCAGCUCCAAAGACAACGACUUUUUUACCGGAGAAAAAUUCUGGAACUCUGUAAUCGUGACUGUGCAACAUAUUUCCCUUGAAAGAUGAAUCGCCAGAAAUCUUAGAUCCUCAACCUGUACUGACCACUUUCCGGUAUCAUCACCUGACAAUGGCUCGACAAAUUCCACAUGAUGAUAAAACUGUAACGAAAUAAAUGACUACCAAGACGAGUGUCCACCACCGAUGCUGGUCGAAAAGUGAAUGCAAUCUGUGAGUUCAACGGAACUGCAGACCCAAAUUCAAAAAUGGAUUGUAUCAAUCCUUGCAGACAAACUGGAGGAGGUAGCGAGGGAAGUCGAGGGUUUGAAAAAUCUGGAGAUGGACCCAAAGCUAAACAAAAUUGUGUUCAAAGCUAUCAUAUGUCUAUCGCACAGUGCGGAUCGCGCUCAGCCCUCAGAUACCCAAAUGGGAAAAAUGAUAUUCAUAGUAUCAGACGCCAUGUGCAAAUUUUUUACCGAAAUACCAGAUUUGAUGAAGUAUUUCUCGUGUAUUUACCACAUUGUGAAGAAUUUGAUCGCUAUGAAACUUUUCAAUGAAGCAAUGAAAAUUACGGAGUGGUCUUUUCCAGGAAGUCUUGUCAACAAUCUGUCCGCAUCGCAUUGGGACAUGUACCCUAAGAUAGCAAGUUUAUGGCAUACAGCUGUGUGUGAGUUAAUCGACGAAUCACGAGUUGAAUUCAUAACUGAAAAUGAAUGGAUUACAAUUCUGAAGCUUAUAAGUAGUGAAUUUAGAAUCCUGGAAGUAGUUGCCAAUACCCAUGGGCAGUAUGUUAUCUGCAGAACGCUCAAGUAUUUAACAAAACUUUAUCCUCCAUCAAUCAAAAUCGUACAAAAAGCAGAAUUCAACCACUGUAAUAUAAUCAAGGCAUUCCUAUCUAGGAUUGAUAUUCUUUUGCACGAAGAAAAAAAGUAUGCAUAUUAUCACGACGCUUUACGCUUUGUAAACUCUGCAACAGUUACAAAUGUUAAAUCACUUGCAAUAGAAAAUGCUCUUGCAGUUUUUGUGGACAGUUGUUUGAUCGUGGAGAUGAUUUUUUCGUCCGAUGUUGAGCUCAGUAGAAGCAUCUUGCUGUACCGCAAUAUGGGGAUUAUGCUUCUCAAACCCGUUGAUAGCACUAAAAAAAUACCACACUGGAAAUUUGAACAGAUACAAGCAGAAACAUUGAGUUUAUUAAGUAUAUUUCCUAAUGGUCAAGGAGUCACUUGGAAUAUGCGAAUGAUUGGUUAUGUCAUGCAGAAUCUCUUCCUACACUGGGAGCAGUGCGUUAGUAUGCAAAAUUCCAAGUUUCUGGAACACGGCGUACUUGAAGGGAUGCUGCGUUUCAUCAAGUUGAUGUUUUCAGUCCUGAACUCUGCAUGCACUGAGGGCUGUGAAAUGUGUCGCAAAAAUGGCUGCACAAUGAAAAAGGCACUUUUGACCACCACUAUAGUGAGUUCGCGCUGCAUACAAGUCGUCGGGAAAAUUUCUGCCGAUGAUUCGAUGAAAAAAAUUCUUCCUCUGAUUCACAAUCUCCUGGAAGAGACGGUCGCUGCCAUAUUUGAGAUGAAAAAAGCCGGGUGUCAGCAGUGGUUGUCUCUUUGGAAUAACUGCGCUGUGAACAUUUAUAAUCUUGGCGUUACUUGCCAUAAAGUAUUCUACGAGGAGACUGCCUUUAUCUUCUCUCUGCUGUGCACCUGCAUUGUAAGGUUCGAGGGUAUAAACCCCGUCAACAGUGCGCUCACUUUCAAGAAUCCACUUCCUUGCAUUCUGCAUAGAUUAACCAGUGUCCAUUUCAAUCACGGAUAUUUUAGAGAGGCUAUGACCCCCUGUGCUCUGAACGGGCUUCUCAGUUACCAGGACACGGACAGCAAAGCCUUUCGCACAUGGACUAAUAUUAAGCAAGCUUGUGUGGGUACUGAGGAGAUUAUGAAAAUGACCAUGCUCUGUUGUCUGAAGGAAGACCAGGAUGCCAUUUCAGAAAUAGGGGUGGAUAUUAAGUUUGCUGACUAUAAUUUGCGAGAAGUCUGCCUCCAAGAAUUACUAGGUCUGCAGGAAGCCAGGUGUGAUUUGUCUACUGCUAUGUACUCCGUUCUUGAUAAACUGCAGAUGGAAAGCUCAGGAACCAUCGAAUAUGUGCAGGGGGUUCAAUUACUCAGUUAUCAUCUGCUUCGCCAUGAAUCAGGCCGGGAGAAUUUUCCGAAAUAUUUAAGACGGGCAAAUAAGAUACUCGCUGAGAAAAAGGUCACAGCGGAUCUGCAGUUAUGGUCAGAAGCAGGUUUGAACUUUUGCGCGUUCGUCACGGACCUGCAAGAAAUCGUUGAACAAACUAAGGUGGAAAUGGAAACGGCAAAAUUUUCACUUAGGGCUGCAAAAUCGGUCUCUCACGAAGGCCAGCCAAAAAAUGAGGUCGUCAUUCCCGCUUUCACAAAGAUCAAUGUCACCCAGGACGACAAACUUUUCAAAAACUUGGAACGUGCUUUGAGUAAAUGGAGUCAUUGCAUUGAUGCCAAUCAAAUCAGCAAAAUUCCUGAAUGGUACUCAGCGUUUAUCCUGAGGAUAUUGGUCAUCGUUGGUGAAUACUGUAAGCUUCACCACUUUUCCAUAUUAGAAAAAAAGGCCUGGGAACUGGCUUACAAGGUAGCUAACCAGCUGAACAAUCACCGUACCACUGUCUAUGUCGUGGGACGCAGUAUUUCUCUGUGGAACGUAAACUUCGAGUGGAUAAAUACCGUAAAUGCAUUAGCCGCCAAAUUGAGUACUCUCAACAAUUUAGAUGACGAUAAAGCUGUCGCCGUAUAUUUCCUAGGCUUAACGAAUCUCUAUUUUAAUCAUGGAAAGUACGAAGGCGGUGUAGAAUUUUUGCAGAAAGUUUUAUCCCUCGACAACAUUAACCCCCCAAAAAAUAUGGAGACCUAUCUAUCUAGCAUGGGCAGUAUAGUGAGGAAUUAUAGAUUUUAUUCCGACGAAAGUAAUAGCACAAAAUACAUGGUUUACGUCGCUCGAUGUUUCUAUACUAUGCUAGCAUUGAUGGAAUAUGCAUCAGAGUCAAAUGGCUUGUCAAAAGAGAAACAGCUCUAUCGUUUGGAAACCCUCCUGAGCUGUACAGCGAAUUUAUCGCUACUUCUGAACAGCAUACUCUCCUUCAAAGAGAUAUCCUGUCAUCUGACUAACCGUUUGAAACUGGCUCAGGCCUCGGGAGCAGCGUUACGUGUCGCGGAGUGUCUGAAAUAUUUAUGUUUCAUAGAUCUAUCUCGAAUGCAAUUAGACGACUGCGUCGUUAAACUGCAGGGUCUCGAAUAUAUCCUGGAGACAGAAUACACGCAACAAUCGCAGAACUCGAGUAACCCUCACAGCUCGAUCGACAAUUUUGGCAAGUCUGGAUUCAGAGACUCUGCGAUGAACUCGGCUUCCCCCCGGCUCAGGAAUAGCGUCUUCGUCCGGCCAAAGUUCUUGGAACAUGGAGAUAACUGUCUCUGCUAUAAGUGCGGCAGUUUGGAUUACCAGAACCUGGUAUUAUCUGGAACCCACAUAAGAGCGCAACUUUAUUUUUCGCAAGGUCAUUUUGACCAGGCUUCGCUGUUCUUUAACGGAGCGUUUUACCUCCAGAGAAAACUGCUACGUCGGCAGAUCGACCGAGGUAUUCCUGGCAUUGGUGUUCCGUUCGAAGACAAAGUAGGAAAAUAUCCUUGGUGCUCCUAUUAUCAAGCUAUACAGUACGUCCGACUACUCAUCGAUUUCAGCCUGUUCACUAGGGUAACUGUACCUGGCGAUAUUAACGGAGAUGGAAUGGAGAUUGUCUCGGAGGCGGUUCACCUCUGUGAGAUAUUCCACUUGGAAAGUCACCCCAUAUAUUUCUCCGCCAGAGAACUUUUACUCGAGUAUCAAUUCUGUUCUAUCUUCAAAGAUGAAUCGGAUUUUGCGAAAUUUACUGUUCCCGAUCCAUCUGCCUUUGAUGUACACAAACUUGUGUACAACGAUGAUGCCACUGUUCUUCCGACCACUGUUACACCAUCUUCGAAAGCGGUUGGUAAAAAGCCCCUGAGUAUUCGCCGGAUCAAAACUCCACCAUUAUUGAAGCUGACUAAAAUCAAAAUGGACCUGAGCGAAGGCGAAGAAGAUGCGGAUUCAGGGUCUCCGAAAUCGUCCAGACAUAGGGGUAAAGCUACAAAGUUUUAUACAAAUUCAAGAUCCUUGAGAAAAAAGUUGGAAUACACGGACUCAUCGCCCACCCCCGGCUCAGAGAAGAAAUCAGAUUUGAUGAGCACCUACUUGGAUGUGCCAGAGACAGUGUCAAGAUUGGAAAUUGGAGCAGGUAGAGCUUUGGCUCGAACCGUGAGCCUUAGUAUUAAGCUUUUUCCAAAACUAAGUGAACCGGUGAAUGAAAUUGUAAAUAAUGAAAAACUUAGCGAUAAGGAAAAAAUAGCAAAAAUUAGCAAUCUCGUUGAACAAUAUGAGCACGAAUCUGCCCAUUCGAAGACAGACAAGUUCCUUGAUCAGGAGAAGAAAAUUACAGGCAGGAAAACUCGGAAGUCUUCGCGCACUGCAAAUAAAUUGUCCACGAGUGAGGCAUCGUCCGGUGUCAUGAAAAAAACUGAUCCGUACUGCCGAACGAAGCUUGAUUUUGCCGAAUGCAUAAAAGAAGAAAUAAACGCCCCGGAGGUGGUUGUAAAGUCUCGUCCCGAUGCUGUGAAGGCAUCAAAGGAUUCGAAUGACAAAGCAAGAUAUUCGUCGAGGACGAAUACUGACCCAAUUUCAACUAAUGAAGUUACAAAGAAUGUAGAGCCGCAGGGACGACAGCGAAAUUCGCGAAGGAUAGAAAAAGCCGAUGAGAUUAUGAAAGACAAAAAAGUGACAUCCAUUCUAGAAACCUCGGACGUUAUUCCGGCCUCUGAUAACGAAGAAAACAUAACUUCUGAACUCCGCAAAAAAAUCAACAAUCUCAAGAUUACCCGUGGAACUUCUUCCAAGGUUACAAAACCUCGGUCAAAGUCCGCGGCUGUUACGAUCACCUCCAAAAUUACCAUUGUUGAUUCGGAUAAUUCAGAUAUCAUUUCAUUCUCCGACGAUGAGAAGUUGACGAUUUCUGAUUCCCGUAGGAAUAUCGUUACGCUUAAGACCAAGUCUAGAACUUCAUCCAGGAUUACAAAGUCUCAAUCCCAGUUGGCGGUUGCUACGACCUCCUCUAAAAUGCCAAAUGUCGACGAUUCAGAUACUGAGAAACCCGUUGAGACUGGUAGGCAAAGAAGCAAUAGACAAAAAAGUAAAUCAAACGAUGAAAGAGAGUGUGAAACAAAUUCGGAAUUAGUUGUAACCAGGACUGAAUCAGAGGCGAAAAAAGAAAGGAGUAAACGCCAAGCGUCUAGUCGAUCUAAGUUAAAGAAAUAAAUGGAAAUGUGAUGAUCUCCAUGCCUAGAAAUGCAUUAGUUCAAUCAUAGGUGUGAAGGAUAUUUUCUUACUCAUUACUUUUAUGAUUUAAACUGAGACGGACGAUUCCUCAACAAAUGUUGCAAGAAAAUGAUGCAGGAAUGCGAUGAGACAGAGUUUCCUUUGUCAACUAUUCAUCCCUGUGGCCCUCCUGAAUUAUCUUUUCAUCACAAAUUAGCCAUCAGCCUUUUUAUUCACUCUGAGACGAUAGCCUCAACAAAUGUAGAAACAAGAGAUGUGAAUGAACAGUAAAGAACCAAAAAGAGCCAAAGGGGAAUCGGAAAACAGUAUCUGUUCGCAAUCCUGGAAAUUUUGAAGAAAGCUUUCGGACAUAUGGAUCACAGUUUAAAGGUUUCAACACAAAAUCAUCUGAUCUAGUCAAAGUUGCAUACGGAUGGUCAGGGCAGUGUCUGUUGGCGUGCGUAAAUCUCAUCUCACAACCUGCUUCUGUACACAAAAAUGGUUUUUCACCAGUGUGGAGACGCUGAUGCGUUUUGAGCUGCCCAGAUUGAGUAAAUGCUUUUGUGCAGCCCGGAUAAUCACAUGGAUAGGGCCUCUCUCCUGUGAGAUUUUCUCAAGCUAAAACGUGACGCCUGUUCCAUGCUAAACAAAGAACGGACAUCUUGUCGUUCGGUCUUUCAUGAAAGAAAGAACCGAAGAAUAAAGAAAGUGAGAGUGGCCCUUGUGUGGAAAGAAGGCAACGAAAAACUAGAGAAAGUAAAGACGAGAACCAAAUUAUUUCUCGAAAGUUAAUCCACGCAUCUAUUCUCAUAUCCACGAUAAAAAGCUUGGAAUAAAAAAAUUUCCUCCACGGUUUCUACGCAACGUAAAGUCUUACGUUUACGAUACGCGUACGCCGGGUGGAGAGGAUUUUAAUUCGUUCACAAGAGCGACGGUUGAAAGAAGAAGGGGGGAAAUUCCCCCUUUGUUCCGCCCCCCUUGCUUCUCCUUUUACAAGUUUACUCAACGCACACCAGGGCGAAUUCUAUAGAUAUUUGUUAUUCAUCUUAACCUGUGUGAGUGCGCAGGUGCGCCUGAAGGCUCUUCUCCCUCGGGAAUACCCUGUUGCAAAAUGUGCAUUUAAUACUACUCGGUGAUGUGCUUCCUUGCAUCAUUAAAUUAUUGAGGGCAUCAGCUCUCGGUCUUCCUCGACGAUGAUUUUCUGAGGACGCUGAACGGGCGCCGGCGCUUACGCCGUCCACACAAUCCCCGGCAUUUACGUUAUGGUGAAGAAUUUGAUGUUCGAUUCACCAGGGAAGAAAGAACUCCCGGUUGGUGGCGCGCUGUAAGAUCUGGAAUUAAACGAUUUAUCAAAAAACCCAUUCAUUAUUCUGAAAAAUAGAGGUGGUGGGGGUUAGGUGCGCUGGGGACAAGACUCAGCGGCGGUUCCUCCCUGAGACCAAACCUCGUGGUGAACUGCCUUCGACUCGGCCAUAUUGGAAUAUUGGAUGUCUCUGUUACACAAGGGCUCAAAAGUAGCCGUGAAAUUUUCGCAUAAUCCUCGAGAUCGAGAGGAUAAAAGAAGCAAUGGAGAACAC